CUGCUUUCCAGGAUAGAGUCCUCCAUCAGGACACUGAAAAAAACCUCUGGAAGCAGAAUCUUGACCUGAUGGCAAUUUAAAUUUUCUCAGUUCUAACAAGAGUGGGUGCUCUGUAUCUAACAAACAGAACUGGAUCCUUCAUACACAGCAGGAGAGGUGUCUGGGAGUUGGAGCAUAUGGAUAUUGAAAUGAGACAUCACUGGAAAUUUAUGCUGUAUGCUACACGGCAGCUAUGGGAUGGUGACUUCAGAAAACUGCCCAAAGAGAAUAAAUCACUUGAACUUUUGCAUCUGACUAACAUGAGAAGAGAGGACCUGUGCCAAGUGGGAGAAUAUGAAUUUCGUUCCCAGGAGCAGGAAGUAGUGCAGGAAUGCUACCCCCUGAUACUAGUCAAGGUAAUGUUUUCCAUGACGAACAGUGAUGAUGGGGAAGAGAGUGCUUUGCACCACUCAGUGCCCUCUACCAGACAGUUUGGGUGGGAAUUGCUGCUUGGAGAGGGCCUGGUUCCUUACCCUAGCUGGAGGCUACUGGUGCAACUUGGGCCAGGCCUGGCUUAGGAGAAAGGGCUGCUUCUGUUGAAGAGUUGAUGCUGUGGUCCAGCCAGUAAGGGGGGGAGAAAAUGUGGUCCUGCCUGAAACUGAGAGGUUAAACACUCAUUGUUUUCACUUCUCCUGCUACCUGAUGAUGAUUGGGUGAUAGAAGGAAGUAAGAUGUUCGUUAUGUGGGAAUAGGGAAACCUCGCAGGGCAUGAGAGAUGUCACUCUGCAUUUUCCCCCUACCAGAACACCAUGAAGCCACAGAAUUAGCAAAGUAACACUGAACUAUUCACUAGAGUGGGUUGUAACACGCACUGCCAAUAAAUAAAUAAGUAGAAUGUAAGAUUUCCUUGACUCUUUCUAACGCUAUAGAAAUCGUGACACUUAUGAGUUAGUGUCAUAAUAACCUGCCAGGGACAAUGAUGUCCAUCACAUCCACCAUUGUUCCCAUUGUAGAGAAUAGCCUCGGGGUGCCAGAUCAUCUAGGACUGGUAUGAGAGUCCCAUAGUUGCUCAGCUUUAGGAACAGGUGAGAUUGUAAGGCAGUGGUCCCCAAACUCUCCCCACUCCCCCGCCCCCCAAUGGUCUGCACCCUCCCCCAGGAGCGCAGUUGGGGGCUGGAAGUGGGGCCAGGAGUGGAGCUUGAUGGCGUUCCCUCCCUGUCUCCUGUGGGUGCUGGCGUGGGCUCUGCCACGCCCCCCUUAGAGGGGCACGCACCACAGUUUGCGGACCUGUUGUCAGGAUUGGGUUGUUUUGGGUUUUUUUCCAAUUACC